rnacentral:rRNA from 4 species
AAAACGACUCUCGGCAACGGAUAUCUCGGCUCUCGCAUCGAUGAAGAACGUAGCGAAAUGCGAUACUUGGUGUGAAUUGCAGAAUCCCGUGAACCAUCGAGUCUUUGAACGCAAGUUGCGCCCCAAGCCGUUAGGCCGAGGGCACGCCUGCCUGGGUGUCACAC